rnacentral:sRNA from 1 species
UAAUUUAUUGUAUUGCCGUUGUGGUGUAUCCCCCUAUGCGGCGGGGCAAAACAGCAACUUUGUCAGGAUACUUUGUCCUUGAUGAGCGUAGCAAAUGCGAGUCAUGGUGGCUGACCAAAGACUCACCGGGAGGCACCCGGCACCACAAUAACUUCAUGCAUAAUCAAAGGCUCGCUUCGGCGGGCCUUUGCUAU